rnacentral:lncRNA from 10 species
CAUGUAAUGUGUUUACUCCUCCUUCCCCGUGCUCCAUAAUUGGAAGCUUCCUGAGGCCUUCACCAGAAGGAGAUGCAGCACUAUUCUUGGUGUACAGCCCACAGCACGGGUAUUCACAGAAAUUGGCAGACGGGCAUACCAGAUCCAUAAAACGAAGCCAGGCCAGUCAUGAACACAGUCUAUUCUCAUUUUACGUUCAGGAGCUGAAUCUUUGCUUGGCAUAUCCCCUCUGGUCAAACAAAGGUUAGAUCUCACUUAAAGA